rnacentral:rRNA from 1 species
AUGACUUGCAUCUUUCCUACCACGGCCUUGAUGCUUCUCCCUUCGCUACCCGCAAAGCCAGCGCUGCCCUAUCCGUCGCCGCCUUCCCAUCGCUCCCCAGACCGUCGCUGCUUUCCUGCCACUCUCCUGUCCGUCGCCGCCUUCCCGCUGCUGCCCUGUCCGUCGCCGCCUUCCUGCCGCUCCCCAGACCGUCGCCGCCUUCCCGUCGCCCCCUGCCCGGCUGCCUUCCUGCCUUCCCUCUUAGUGAGAGAAAAUUGGAUGACUGAUUUGUUUCGUAGUAGACCUAGAUCGAUCCGGACUUGA